CACACACACACACACACACACACACACAGGUACAGACAUGUAACACAGUCAGCUAUUCUGUAUAAAAGACAAUCCCUGGCUGUAGAGAGAAGCAGACACACAAAGAGGAGGGAGAGACAGACUUCAUCACUGACUCCAGAUCUGAGGACAAACUCAUCUGAAGAACCACUCACACCAAUGUAAAGAGGUGACUGUGAUCUCCUCAGACCAAUUGGCAGAACAGCCCAGUUCUGACAUCACAAACAGGAUGAUUGAUUCUGCACAUCCUAUGGGAAGGCGUGAGGGAAUUUCUCAUCUGAUGAAAAGACGACUAGGACCCGCCCAGACCAUAGGAGACAUAUCAUAAGUGAACAAUAGAGGAACACAUCUACUGACUUUUCAAACAGGUUGUCCCUGCAAGGAACGGAGGAAGACAUUGUAGAGAAUUGUGUCCCCCCCUUAACAGUGUUCUUAGGACUCUUUUCCCACGGGUGAAGGCGUCUUUGCCGAACCUAGCAGGUGGAGCCGAACACUGUUUGAACCCAGGGGAUUCCGUGGUGGUCAAAGACUUUCAGGAGAAAGAGUUGGAACGACCCCCGUUCGAUAUCAAGUUCUUCAAGACCCCCCCCCCCCCACUGUGGUGAAGGUUGCUGAGAGAGAUGGCUGGAUACACGCGUCGCACUGCAGACGAGUUCCUGAUCCAGGAGAAGAUGAGGCCUCGCCAGUCCCGGCGGUGCCGUGUGGCCCUCCUCUGCUUUAGCACAGGAAUGCUAAUAGGAACAGUAGGCUGUCUUCUUGUAGGAAA